GCACCUGUAAAUACCACCCAUCGCCUGAAAAGUGCGCCAAUACUUAUGAAAUAAAGUGCAAUGACGAUUUUGCCAUUACAGAUUUGCCCCGUAAUGGUGGAUCACCAUAUUUACUGUAACAUAUAAUAAACUAAACAAAUCUACUUAAUCUUGAAAAAUUAUACUUCGUCAUGGAUUGACUUACUCUUAUAUACUUUGCUAUAUGUACGACAACCAAUAAUAGAUAUAUUUUGCAAUGUAUGUAUAUACUACUUAAUCGCUUUUUCCAAUGUUUAAGUGCAAAAGAUGAUGUGGUGCCGGGUCUCACUGAUUGCUAUCCACCCUUGCCGACAUAUAGAUAUACACCGAUACCUAUGAACACACUUAUCGGAUACGGACUGGCGAUUACCGAUGGCCCAGUGUCAAGUAAUGGCGGCAGGCCCGACACGUGUUGUUCCAAUUCGAGACGCAUCAAGCCGAUUCGAAUCGCCACCAAUGACGCCAGUAACGGACACGCUAAUUUCCUGGUCACAGAGUCACCAUUUUGCCAGACGCGCAUUCACGUCGUCGGACGCCCUCGGUGAUGAGCUACAUACGUAUGUGUAAUAUGUGACGUCAUUGCUUAAAGUCGACCCGGUAGAAAAGGAAUAACCCUGCAACAGGCGAGAAAAAGAGGGAGGUACUCGGUCCACAGCUGUAGUAUAUAUGUUACUACGCCCGAAGUUUUACGCUAGCGUGGGCGUAUCCUGCUUCUCACUGCCGCUCCAACUGCGCCCUCUUGCUCACUCUCAAGCGUGGAUUGUUACGUCACUGGACUCGUCACUCGACUCGUAGUUGAAUUCAUCGUAAAAUGACGAUGACGGGGCAUAUGGCUUCGCGCUGUGCACUCGGCGUUCCUCUUUACAUAUGUACAGAUACAUAUAUAGG